rnacentral:rRNA from 1 species
GUGCCAGCCGCCGCGGUAAUACGUAGGGUCCAAGCGUUGUCCGGAUUUAUUGGGCGUAAAGAGCUCGUAGGUGGUUCGCUAAGUCGGAUGUGAAAACUCGGGGCUCAACCCCGAGACGCCAUCCGAUACUGGCGUGACUUGAGUCUGGUAGGGGAGAUCGGAAUUCCUGGUGUAGCGGUGAAAUGCGCAGAUAUCAGGAGGAACACCGGUGGCGAAGGCGGAUCUCUGGGCCAGUACUGACACUGAGGAGCGAAAGCGUGGGUAGCAAACAGGAUUAGAAACCCUGGUAGUCC